rnacentral:rRNA from 1 species
UUCCCUUUGGCCUGGAAUAACACGAGGAAACUUGUGCUAAUACCGGAUAAGUCUUUACGGAGAAAGCUUUAUGCACCAUUGGAUGAGCCUGCACUUGAUUAGUUUGUUGGUAGGGUAAUGGCCUACCAAGACUGUGAUCAAUAGCUGAUUUGAGAGGAUGAUCAGCCACAUUGGGACUGAGACACGGCCCAAACUCCUACGGGAGGCAGCAGUGGGGAAUCUUGCACAAUGGAGGAAACUCUGAUGCAGCGAUGCCGCGUGAGUGAAGAAGGCCCUUGGGUUGUAAAGCUCUUUCGUCGGGGAAGAAAAUGACUGUACCCGAAUAAGAAGGUCCGGCUAACUUCGUGCCAGCAGCCGCGGUAAUACGAAGGGACCUAGCGUAGUUCGGAAUUACUGGGCUUAAAGAGUUCGUAGGUGGUUGAAAAAGUUGGUGGUGAAAUCCCAGAGCUUAACUCUGGAACUGCCAUCAAAACUUUUCAGCUAGAGUUUGAUAGAGGAAAGCAGAAUUUCUAGUGUAGAGGUGAAAUUCGUAGAUAUUAGAAAGAAUACCAAUUGCGAAGGCAGCUUUCUGGAUCAUUACUGACACUGAGGAACGAAAGCAUGGGUAGCGAAGAGGAUUAGAUACCCUCGUAGUCCAUGCCGUAAACGAUGUGUGUUAGACGUUGGAAAUUUAUUUUCAGUGUCGCAGCGAAAGCGAUAAACACACCGCCUGGGGAGUACGACCGCAAGGUUAAAACUCAAAUGAAUUGACGGGGACCCGCACAAGUAGUGGAGCAUGUGGUUUAAUUCGAAGAUACGCGCAGAACCUUACCAACACUUGACAUGUUCGUCGCGACUUUAAGAGAUUAAAGUUUUCGGUUCGGCCGGACGAAACACAGGUGCUGCAUGGCUGUCGUCAGCUCGUGUCGUGAGAUGUUGGGUUAAGUCCCGCAACGAGCGCAACCCUCACUUUUAGUUGCCAUCAUUUAGUUGGGCACUCUGAAAGAACUGCCAGUGAUAAGCUGGAGGAAGGUGGGGAUGACGUCAAGUCCUCAUGGCCCUUACGUGUUGGGCUACACACGUGCUACAAUGGUAUUUACAACAGGAAGCAAAACGGCGACGUUAAGCAAAUCCUAAAAAAAUACCUCAGUUCGGAUUGCACUCUGCAACUCGAGUGCAUGAAGCUGGAAUUACUAGUAAUCGUGGAUCAGCGUGCCACGGUGAAUGCGUUCCCGGGUCUUGUACACACCGCCCGUCACACCAUGGGAGUUGGUUCUACCUUAAGGCAAGGUUUAAAACCCUUGACCACGGUAUAGUCAGCGACUGGGGUGAAGUCGUAACAAGGUAGCCGUAGGGGAACCUGCGGCUG